rnacentral:rRNA from 1 species
UACGUAGGUGGCAAGCGUUGUCCGGAAUUAUUGGGCGUAAAGCGCGCGCAGGCGGUCUUUUAAGUCUGAUGUGAAAGCCCACGGCUCAACCGUGGAGGGUCAUUGGAAACUGGAGGACUUGAGUACAGAAGAGGAAAGUGGAAUUCCACGUGUAGCGGUGAAAUGCGUAGAGAUGUGGAGGAACACCAGUGGCGAAGGCGACUUUCUGGUCUGUAACUGACGCUGAGGCGCGAAAGCGUGGGGAGCAAACAGG